UACUCUACUUCUAAAUGGACUUUGCUACUUAAACCUCCAUAGCUUCUUCCGUACUUUAAAUUGCAUCUAAUGAACUGCUUCAGUUUUCAGUUAAACGCUUUUAAGCAAUCUUUCCUCUACUCAACCGACGCACGAAUAGUAGAUAACUUCUGUUUUUCCUCUGCUAGUUAUUAUCUCAAACUGUGUAGAAGUGCCUAGGUACUAAAGCUCUCCAUGCAUCUAAUUCAAUUAUGCCUGGCAAGUGUAUGUUUAAACCUUUAUGAGAAGUUAAAGAAGAAUUUGCAAAUUGGCUCCGAUCGAUCGAAAAUAAGAAUAAAACAAGAUGUAUUUGGUGCAUAAAAGAGAUAGAUAUAUUAAACGUGGAUGAAGCUGUUCUAAAAACAUACAUGAAAGACACGAAUGUUUGAACAACAAGGAUCUUCGGCAACAUCAUGGUAAGCCAUUCUACUUGCCAGCAAAGGGGUACAAUCAAGUCGUCUGCGGUCAUCGGUCAGAGUGAUCAAGGAUCGUUCCAGGAUUGGAAAAGAGCCGCUUUUGGUGAGUUUCAUGGCAGAGACCUUUGGUUUGCGGGACACUUCUGCAACUUUCAUACGGAAAGAGGCUUGAAUCUAAGAGGAAAAAAUACAUCAAGUUUGUUUAUUUUCUGUGGUUAUGUUUUUUUAAAAUACAGUCGAUUUUACUUAUUUGGAUCAUUGAUUAAUUGGGAUAGCAGUUUAUUUGGAAUUAGUUCAACUUAAAAAGUAUUAUUUAAUAACAUAAUUGGGAUAAUAAUGUUGUGGCAAGAUAGAUGGAUAAUGUCGUGUAAAGGACGCAUAACAUAUGAAAUCAAAUCGAGCCAACAAUUAUAAAAAGAAUGUUUCACCCGAUGACAGUGCAAAUUAUAUCAGGACAUGGAAGAUUUCCUGCAUAUUUCUACAGAUUUGGAAGGAUGCAAGACAAGGUAUAUGGGGAAAUAGGCUCGAAUCAGCACUACAUAACAGAAUGUGUCGAACUCAGUGCAAUUAGGGGAUGACUCAUAACGGAUGGGAUAAUUUUAAAACAAUAUUAUAAUAUCUAGAAAUUUAUUUUAAAACGAUGGAGAAGAUUUCUAAUCUUUUACCAAUAGUUUGAAAUUUCUUUGAACUUUUGUUGGUCGUUUUUUUUAUGCAAAAGUUGGAACAGUUAUUGAGCAUAACAGCCAGUCACAAUAAUUCCUGUUUAACGGGGUGAGUAGUUGUAAAUAAAAAAAAAUUGGGAUAACAGAAGAUGCAUUUUAAAAUAAGAUUCAUACGAUUUUCUAAUCGCUCUGAACUGAUAUCGCUAAGCGGAUGGAGAUUAUGUUUCAGCACAUUUAAAUCUUUUAUUGAACUUUGCAAGUCAAUUAUUUUUAGUCAGCUAUUAUAAUUAUACCGCUUUGCCUGUAUAACAGAGAAUAUAUUUGUAUUCUAUAGAAUUAAUAGACCUUGUCAAAAUGCUAAGAAAGGCUUUUUCACAUUUAAGUAAAAUUACUUUGCCGGUUAAAAUUAAAAGCCAUCGAUUUCAAACAACACUCAUAUGUUUUCUCAGUUAACUAGUUUAAAAUCUGCUUUAUUUCAAAGAAAUAAAUUACAAUUUCUUUGGAAUAAUAGCCAUUGCAGAAAGGACAAAUACGAACUCCAAAAGAAAGAUAGCGUAGAGCGGAAGAAGCGGAUCGACGUAUUUUAUCAUAAUUAGUAUAGCAAAGUGUAGGUACAGCAUAGAUAAGUAGUUUGUACCUUAAUUUACUUUUCAAUAAUUUGUUAUAAUACGGAAAGAACGUUGUUUUUAUUUAAUUUUACAGGACAUUCACAAUAUUGACGGCGAUGCCGACUGUAGUCCUACUUUUGAAUAACGUGUAGACUAUUUCAUAGGCGAGGACAAAAUACUAUAUGCCCUAAGCAGGUCCCAUCCUAGUCUGUUUUAUAGCUUAACUUUUGAAUUGAGACAGAUGACGCAGUAGACAUUGCUUGCUAGCACUGUAAAUGGAUUUCUGUUUCGCUCAUUUAGAAUUAUAAUUAUCAGAAAAAUUCAACACUUUAAGGAGAUGGGCGUCAAUUUGUGCGUGGAAUAGAACAAAUAGAUAACAACGAAAGGGCAGCAAUAUAAUCGUAAUAGGAACAAUAUAGGAACAUCGCCGAAACUUUGCUAAUUUACACCAGAACUGAUGAGAUUUUGGAGUAUUUUGAAGCAGCAGCUAUGAUGUAAAUCAACAACGAGAGAUGCAUAUACUUGAUUUGGCAAAAGAGGCAAUGCGUCGUAUGAAACAGGUCCUGGCGCAACUAUAUUAGCCUUUGUCCGUGACAUUGCAGUUUCUUGAUCGAGUAUCAGGUGAAUACAGCAUUAAAGAAUAUUUACAUUCAUUUCAAGUGAAAUGAUGUAGCGUAAAAUGUUGUCAAAUAAAAAGCUUUCCUUCUUGUUGACUUA